rnacentral:rRNA from 1 species
UACGUAGGGUGCGAGCGUUGUCCGGAAUUAUUGGGCGUAAAGGGCUCGUAGGCGGUCUGUUGCGUCGGGAGUGAAAACUCAGGGCUUAACCCUGAGCCUGCUUCCGAUACGGGCAGACUAGAGGUAUGCAGGGGAGAACGGAAUUCCUGGUGUAGCGGUGAAAUGCGCAGAUAUCAGGAGGAACACCGGUGGCGAAGGCGGUUCUCUGGGAAUGUCCUGACGCUGAGGAGCGAAAGCCAGGGGAGCAAACGGG